AUCCUACUUUAGUUCUCCGAGGCCAUCGGCCUUACCAUCAAUUUCCACAAAAGCACCUUCGCACCCAUUCACGCCGACCCGGAGCUCUCUAACAACCUUGCGGCCAUUCUUGGAUGCCCGGUCGCUUCCUUUCCGCAAUCUUACUUAGGAUUGCCUCUCUCCACCCACAAACUCCAUCUCGUGGAUUUUUUCUUUAUCAUCGAUAAGGUCGACAGACGUUUGGCCGGCUGGAGGGGACUCCUUUUGUCCUUGGCCGGGCGGGCAAUUCUCGUCCACUCCGUUCUCCGGGCCCUGCCAAUCUAUGCUAUGAGCGUUCUUCUUCUUCCUACCGGCACUGUGCAAGAGAUUGAGAAACGCUGUCGGGCCUUCUUCUGGACGGGCCAAGACACGGUCACCGGGGGUAACUGCAAAGUGGCUUGGGACAUUGUGUGCGCUCCUUUCACUAAUGGAGGCCUCGGCUUCCUAUCUCUACCGCACAUGAAUGUUUGCCUCCUCCUCAAACACAUUUCCAAGCUACAUGACGGUGCGGCUUCGCGACAACCUUCCUACCUUUUCUCCAAGUACGGAUGGUCUAGCACCCAUUACGUGGGUAUGGACGAUAGUCACUCUACCCCUAUCUGGCGGGAUAUCAUGAAAGGCCUUGAUUUCUUUCGCUCAAACACUCGGGUGCAACUUGACAACGACGCUACUACCUCAUUCUGGCUCGACUUUUGGCUCCCUAACACCACCCAAACCCUAGCACAACUUUUCCCGGCUCUGUUCUCUCACUCCAAUCGGGUCCACACUCCGGUGGCUCGUGCCCUGGCUCGAACAACCUAA
rnacentral:rRNA from 1 species